GACGAACGCUGGCGGCGUGCUUAACACAUGCAAGUCGAACGGGCCCGCCCCUGUUUUUGGGGGUGGGUUGAGUGGCGAACGGGUGAGUAUCACGUGAGUAACCUGCCCCCUGCUCCUGGAUAACUCCUUGAAAGGGCGGCUAAUACGGGGUGUGCCGGCUGGUCCGCAUGGGCCUGUUCGGGAUAGUUUCAUCUUCGGGUGUGUCGGUGGGGUAUGGGCUCGCGGCCUGUCAGCUUGUUGGUGGGGUGUUGGCCCACCAAGGCGGUGUCGGGUAGCCGGACUGAGAGGGUGGCGGCCGGCACUGGGGCUGGGACACGGUGCAGACGCCUGAGGGCGGCAGCAGUGGGGGGUAUUGCAGGUGGGGCGGAAGCCGGAUGCAGCGACGUCGCGGGAGGGAUGGAGGCCUUCGGGUUGGGAGCCUCUUUCUCGGGUGGUGCAGUUCCUGUCCGUUGCGGCGGGGUUGACGGUAGCCGGGUAUGAAGCGCCGGCUAACUACGUG
rnacentral:rRNA from 1 species